rnacentral:rRNA from 1 species
GUCCUAGCCAUAAAACGAUGCAGACCAGAGGUGGGGGGUAUCGACCCCCUCCGCCCCGACCCUAACGGAUUAAGUCUGCCGCCUGGGGAGUACGGCCGCAAGGUUGAAACUCAAAGGAAUUGACGGGUACCCGCACAAGCGGUGGAGUAUGUGGUUUAAUUCGACGCAACACGAAAAACCUUACCUGGGCUCGAACGACUGGAAGUAAGCCCGAUGAAAGUUGGGACGACCUGUAAAGUCAGGAACCAGCCGAGGUGCUGCAUGGUUGUCGU